rnacentral:rRNA from 1 species
CCUACGGGUGGCAGCAGUCGAGAAUCAUUCACAAUGGGGGAAACCCUGAUGGUGCGACGCCGCGUGGGGGAAUGAAGGUCUUCGGAUUGUAAACCCCUGUCAUGUGGGAGCAAAUUAAAAAGAUAGUACCACAAGAGGAAGAGACUGCUAACUCUGUGCCAGCAGCCGCGGUAAUACAGAGGUCUCAAGCGUUGUUCGGAAUCACUGGGCGUAAAGCGUGCGUAGGCUGUUUCGUAAGUCGUGUGUGAAAGGCGCGGGCUCAACCCGCGGAAGGCACAUGAUACUGCGAGACUAGAGUAAGGGAGGGGGAACCGGAAUUCUCGGUGUAGCAGUGAAAUGCGUAGAUAUCGAGAGGAACACUCGUGGCGAAGGCGGGUUCCUGGACAUUAACUGACGCUGAGGCACGAAGGCCAGGGGAGCGAAAGGGAUUAGAUACCCCAGUAGUC